AGAGUUUGAUCAGUGGCUACAGGACGAACGCUGGCGGCGUGCCUAACACAUGCAAGUCGAGCGAGGAGAUCCCUUCGGGGAUGAACCUAGCGGCGGACGGGUGAGUAACACGUGGGCAACCUGCCUUAUAGAGGGGAAUAGCCUUCCGAAAGGAAGAUUAAUACCGCAUAACAUUACAUUUUCGCAUGAAGAAGUAAUUAAAGGAGCAAUCCGCUAUAAGAUGGGCCCGCGGCGCAUUAGCUAGUUGGUGAGGUAACGGCUCACCAAGGCGACGAUGCGUAGCCGACCUGAGAGGGUGAUCGGCCACAUUGGGACUGAGACACGGCCCAGACUCCUACGGGAGGCAGCAGGUGGGGAAUAUUGCACAAGUGGGGGAAACCCUGAUGCAGCAACGCCGCGUGAGUGAUGAAGGUCUUCGGAUACGUAAAGCUCUGUCUUCGAGGGACGAUAAUGACGGUACCUGAGGAGGAAGCCACGGCUAACUACGUGCCAGCCGCGGC
rnacentral:rRNA from 1 species